rnacentral:lncRNA from 1 species
CCAGGUAACACCUACGUCUCGUUUACAUUGGCCCAGACGAGCCAAAGACGCUAUCACUUCACUCCCUUGUUGCUAAAGAACGGAAACGGGUAUCACUACGCAGUACAAGUUCAGACAAACGGUAAUUCAUAAGAGAAUAAGUUAUUCUUUAUAUCUUGUGCAUCCGAAAAUCCAACAAACAGCAGUCAAGAUAUAGCAGUGCUGGAUGCCUUCCACUUCUCCAUGGCGGGGAAAAACGGAUCAAAACCCGAUGAAAUUGUUACGACUAUGACAGCCUUGAUGCGUGUGACCAGUGCUUGACUCCUAGUUUGCUUUUCCCGAAAAGGAUUAGCAGCGGUGAGGACGAUACCUUUACAGUCAACAGCCGCUUCAGUUUCAACCCUAUACAUUUGACCUAAAGAAUUGAUUAAGUCACCGUCACUCGGCCUCCACAUCAGCAACCAACAGGGCAUCGCCAUGGACUACGUUUCAUGUGACGAAAUCAUUGCCACCAAGGGUGAUCUCAUUGCAUUUCGCCGGUUUUUCCUCUGGUUUUUCCUGCGUUUAUUUGUGCCGUCCAAGUUUAUUAAUUAUCGCCCGUGGCAAUGGCUUGUGUACUGUCAUUUUGCUGUCUGCACUGAAAGUGCAUCUGUAAGUGGAGAAAUUAUUCCCAAGGAAAUUUGUAACAGAAUCACUAUAGGCGUUGAUACCCCAAAGUGGUUUACGUGGUUUGGUAUACGGUUGCCGUUUAGUGUUACUAAACUUGUAGAGAAGACCAUGCAAACCCUGUGUGACCAACACGGGUGUCGAGUGAACAAUCAUGACGAGUUUGCCAGAAAAAAAAAAUUGGUCAUCAAUACACCUGACGAUGUUGUUAAAAGGGCUCGGGAGUUUCUCAGGGAUAACCAGCAUCCCAUCAUGUUUUACAAUGUGCUGAUUAAGAAUUGUGAACAUUUUGCCACCCUGUGUAGGUAUGAGAAAGCCUUUAGUCUCCAAGUCCCUGGUUGGAUUUCGAAGACGUUCGAUUUUAUUUUCAUGUUGUGUUCCAUGUUGUGUUCCAUGUUGUGUUGGUUUUUUUAUAAGUUCUUUAAACCGCCACCUGGAGUUGAUAAUACGAGUGUUAUCAUGAAAGAAGUCAGAGCGAAUGAACAAAGAAACAAUAAUAUGCCUAUUGAAGAAUUGCAGUAAUAAUUAAGAUUAUAAUUACUUCAAUUUUUAGCGUUGCUCAUGCCUUAAGAUGGAUGCCACAUUGUUUGUUCAGCGCAUUGUUCAUUUUAUCUCUUCAAACCUCAGUAUGGUAUAGUAGAAAAAUAGCCAAAGAAAUAGUCUGUCUGGUGUUAUGUUCUAUGUAACGCGGGAAAGAAAAUUAAAAAUUAAAUAAAGUAAAUUUGAAUUCA